UGACAGGCGUGAAGUGCUGUCUUCCAGGUUCAGCCCACAGCGGCCAGUGAAACAGAAAAUCCCUGCCUGGGCCUGCCGGGCAGGCAGUGCCCGGGCCCCAUGCCCCAGGGCCAGGCCAUACUCGGGAAGGGGCCACUCUGUGAGCGGAAGAGGCUGGGUGUUUGGCCCCCAGGCCCCGCUGUGUGGCCCCAGGCAGGUCACUUCCCCUCUGUCAAAUGGGGACAGUGACACAGCCCUGGCUUCCUAGAUCUGUGACAAAGACACAUGGUGGGGUGUAAAUGUCCAGGCUGGGGUGCAGCUCAGUGGUGAGUGCUUGCCUGGCAGGUGGGGCUCCUGGGUUCCAGCCUCAUCCUGAAAAAGGGAAGGAAAGAAGGACGAAGAGAAAGAAAGACAGGGAGAGAGAAAAGAAAAGAGAAGAAAGAAAAGGAAAGGAAAGAACAGGGCGUGGUGGCACAUGCUAAUAAUCCCAGCAAUUGGGAGGCCAGGGCAGGAGGAUCAUUUCAAGUUCAAGUCCAGCCUGGGCUACAUAGCAAGAUGCUGUCACCAAACCAAACUUCACCUUUUUUUUUUUUUGGUACUGGGGAUUGAACUCCGGACCUCGCGGUUGUGAGGCAGGCAGCAGAACCACUGAGCUAAAUCCCUGGCCCCACCAAACCAAACUAAACCAAACCACAAUGAAAGAAAGGAAGGAAGGAAGGAAGGAAGGAAGGAAGAAAAGCUCAAACCAAUGACUCACAGGCAAAUUCCAGCGGUGAGCUGUUUGCACUGCGUUCUUGGUUCCCGGCUAAACCUCUCUGAGCCUCAGCCUCUGUUUCAGAGACCAACUGAGUAUUACCAACCGCGGCUCUUGGGCGGACUGGGGGUGACAGUGUGCCCAGCACACCGUAGGAACUGUACAAGUAGCUCUACUCCUCCCUGAGACCCACGGCAGCUUCUGACCCACACUCAGUGGCCACCAUUGCCUCCCUUCAAGCCACGAGCUCCGCCCCUCCAGGUCUCUCAAUCCCGGGCUUCGGGCUGAAGUGAGACCAUUGUCCCAGCCAGGAAUGAGGAGGUGCUGGGAAGCUGGCAAUAUCCAGGCUGUGUUUUGAAGGAUGCAUAGGAGUCCCCAGGCGAUAGAAGAAACAAGGCUGUGGUGGCCAGAGGGGAUGAAUGAGCAAAGGGUUGGAGUGCAGAGGAGGAGGGGAGCCAGGCCUAGUCAGGUGGGACCUGGCUUAUCCUUCGGACCCCAGGAAGUGGGGUGGGGCUCCAGCCUGCAGGCAGCCCCUCCCCAGAAGUCCUCCUGUCCCUUCGGGGCCAGCACAUCCAGGCCAGGAGAGCGGAG
rnacentral:lncRNA from 1 species